CACCAGCCUGCGGCCUGGGUGUCCUCUGUCCCUCCACCCCCACCCUAUCGCUAACCAGCUCCAGCCGCUUACCUAUGCCUAGAGGGUGCAGUCCCCAGCCCCUUUCACUGGAGGACACUCUGCUGCCUCCAGGAAGUUCUAUGCAGAUGCUUCCCCUGCUCCACCUGCAGCUGCACCGGAGAGCCAGGAAAGAGUGGGGAAACAUGUUCGAGGUUCUGCAGCUCAUUCCAACUAGGAGCAAUGGCCAGAUCCUCAGCUGGUGUGAACCAGCAUCGGUGCUACACUGAUUUACACCAGCUGAAGAUUUGGACCAAAAUCCCAGCCAGUAAGGGAUAUGUGCCGGCUAACACAGCCGUAUGCCAGCUCAUGCCUAUGGGCCUUCAUUGGUUUCAAACAAACUUCCCACAUGAGUAUUCCUCCAAUGCAGGAAGCCUGGGCAUUGUCCACUCCCAGCUAGGAAAGCUUUUAGUGGCAUUGUCUACACAAAGACUGAGUGCGUGGCCAGCUGGGGUGUGAAUCUACAGCCUGCCGCACACUAAGGGGCUGGGUGGACCCUGCUACCAAGCACUAAAAUUUCCCUAGUGCACUUUGGCACCUUGCUGCUUGAAAUUCCAACUUGCCACGCGCUAGGUCUCGGAAUAGACACGCCCACAUGCUUCUUAUUUCAUUUGCAAGGCUAGACCUUGAAGUCAGCCUCUAAACCUUUAGCCCCUGCAGUCAAUUACAGGUGCAAAACUGCCAGAGCAAAUGACAGAACCAGCGUACGGCUCCAGAACCAGUUGUCAUUGCCUGCCUGACUUUAAAAGAUGCUGAGUUCCCACAGGGCACCUCUGCAAAUCAGACCCCAGAUAUCUAAGUGUUGUCAUUUGUAUAUGGAAUUAUUAAUGAUGUGUAUUGCAGUAGCACCUAGGAGCCUUAGUCAUGGACCUCUUGUGUUAGGCGCUGUAUGAACACAGAACAAAGAGAGGCCCUGCCCCAAAGAGAUGGGGCACAACUAAUCAGAUGGCCCUGCCAUCUGAUUAGUUGUGCUACAUUUAACAGGACGACUCCUGGGAAAGCAAUGAGCUGCCCUAGCCCCUGACUGCCCUUGGUGCUGGCCUUCCCUUCCCAGGGCACUGCAUUCUCUAGCAUUAUUGUAUCAUAACAGCUUCAAGGAAUUUGAGCUAUCCGAGUGGGCCACUUCUCGCCUGGGCUACGAGUGUCUCCUCGCAUCGCCUCCUCCGCUUUGCCUGUCCCCGCGGUGCAUCCCAAUCCCUGGCUCUGCUUUGACGAUGGCACUGUCUGCUCAAUGCCUUUGCCAGUUGUCCCUCCUACGGCCGUGCUGGGAACGUGGCAAAGCAUCUGCGCUCCUUCUCUGCUUGAGGGUGUCCCCUCUCUUCCUUCUCUUGCUGGGAUGUGUGCUGAUCUAGAAUGGACUAAAAACUCUCCCCGACUAGUAACAGCGGUGAGAUAUUGACCCGUCCUACUGUCUUGGCUAUGCAGGGUCAUUUGGAUCCCUGGCUUGUACCUUAUGCAGCAAUGGAAUUGCACUGGGUUUAAGUCUAAGGCAUUGCACAGGGUCUAAGUCUAGGCAGGAUUUGUCCUGAGAUCCCUUAAUUAUGCCAUGGUGGUGAAUCAUCUUUGAUACAUGUAGCCAUUCAGCUGCCUACGCUCCUUGGGUUGGGUCUCCUUCCUUUAAAGCAGACAGGGAAUGUUGGGACAGUUCCAGUGAAAACCAUUACCUGCUUAUUUCCUGUGUGGUGUGUGUCUUUCUCUUCUUUCCUACACCAAUGCCUUGGAAGCAGUGUUAGCUUUUGGAAAUCCUUUAUCCGCGUCUUUAAAAAAACCAAACUCCUGGGUGAGCUCUCCAGCUGAUGUAAAUCAGCGUAGCUCCAUGGAAGACCAGCUGAGGGGCUGGCUCAAGGACCCCAAUUCAUUUUUGUUUAGGACGGGUUUUAAGUCUGGGCAGGAUUUGUCCUGAGGUCCCUUCAUUACGUUGCAGCUGCAAAUCGUCUUUGAUACAUUUCAUACAUGUUUAGGACAUGGUUAUCUUUAAGCGCAUGCUGAAGUCCCAGUGAAGUCCAAGCGACUGAAGGACGUGUUUAAAGGGAAGCACAUACUUCUUGAAUAGGGAUGGAUUUAAGCAUAUGCCUAAGAGCAUUCCUGAAUUGGGGCCAAAGAAAGUAGAGCAAUGAUGACAAACUCCUUGAAUCCCCAAUGGAUUCCUCAAGGUCCUGGCCCCUUCAAGCCAUCUGCCUGAGCAGUUUUGCCCUCAAAGCUCAGAGAAUUUCCUACAGCUCCUGAUGAGCACCCUGCCCCAUCCCAUGCUGCCACAGGAGACGUUCCAAGGAACCCAUCCAACAGGGCUUCUGCAGCUCCUAUAGCACCAUCACGUUGCUUGUUAAUCAAAGCCUUCUGCAGCGGCUGGAAUGAAUGAAGAGCCAAUGGACGGGCUGCGGGUAUGGUAUUUUUGUUUUAUUUUUUUAAAUGAAAACAAGGCAAGUAAGGUAAUCUGGCCUGGCCCAGCCGACAGGAAUCGCCACCAUCCAACACAGAACAACCUCAGAUAAACUUCAGCAGCUGAUCAUCCAGCAGGAUUGCCGAGGCAUCCGGGUCACAGCAAGAUGAAGCUGGAGGACACAAAGAGAACUGGAUUCCCUAUUUGGUGUAUCACCCCUAUUUACAACCAGAAUAUUCUAUUGUUACAGUCCAACACCAGGCAGGGCCAACUAUGAGCAGCUCCCAGAUGUUUGUUUGGCUGGCUGGUCUCCUCUCUAAAUGUAUUCUUAUACCCUUGGUCCUCUCUGGAGUUCUUGGGCCACUCAUGCUCCAGAUUCAGGCGGGAAGCAAAGCCUGGCCACCACUGUCCGGUUGCACAGGAAGGAACCCUCCCAUCUUUGUGACUGAGUCAUGUUCCUCACCUCCUGCGCUACUUUGGGAGCUGGGGAUAAGCAGAGGCAGCUGGCAGGAGGCAGAUCACUCUGGAUUCUACCUGAGAAAACGCUGUCUGGGACCAGAACUAAUGGCAUGGGUUAAUGUGGGUGCGUAAGUUAGACAAGUAAACGAGAUCAGCAAGAGAGAGAGCCGUGGUGGAACAGCAGCUGUUGACCACCCGAACAGAAGACAUUGGCUGGAAUGUCCUAUUCCUUAGCAGGUGCUGCAGAGUCUUGGUGCUUAUCUAACCACGCUUAAGGAACCAUUUCCACUGGAGCUGCCAGUGUCAGUGCUCAGUGGUGCCUCAAGACCACAGCCGAGAUCAGGGCCGUGCUGUGCAUAUACAUAGUGAGCAACAGUCCUUGCACAAAGAGCUCACCACCUAGACAAGGCUGACAAAGGGUGGGAGGGGAAACAAGAGGCCGAGAGAGGGGAAGUAUCUUGCCCAAGGUCACACAAACAGGUCAGUGGCAGAGCUGGUAAAUAGAACCCAGGUCUCCUGGCUGCCAGUCCAGUACACUAUCUGCGUCACCGUGCUGCCUCUUGACCUGUCCUACAGCCAAAGAAAUUGCCCAUAAAGAUCAUCUAACCUUCCCGGCUGGAAGCCCAUGGGGAGCCCUAAGUAACCAGCCUUCCUACACAUGCUCCAAAGCCUGGAGACAACGUCGCCUUUCAGGGAGUUCUGCUAUGUGCAGGGGCAGGUCCUUCCCGUAAUAAUUGCAGCCAGGGUUCAGCGGAGCAGAGGUAAGUGGGCAGGCGGGAGGAUCUCCACACACCAUCCUGUUCCAGGUGCCCAAAGUGCAAACAACGAAACCUCAAAUAUGGUCUUCCAAAACCUCCUCCAAAUUAACACUCUGCAAACCGUGGGCAGUUCCUGUGCCUUCUCAGUUAUCUAUCUGGAGGGCUAUCCCCCACGAUGCUCAUGUCCCCCACAGGAACAAUGUGGAAUUUGUAUUGGCUUUUAGCAGGCGACAGCUAGUGAAGACUUUAUUUGACUGAUAGCUUGAAAGGGCCAAUUUGCUCCCAAUACUCCCUUGUCUCAAACCUCUCUGGAGUCUGCCAGCCCACCUCUGCCUCCUUGCAUUCUCCUCUAUGCAGAGCUAAAGCUGUGUUAGGCCAGCGAAUGUAGGAUAACAUGGGAAAGGAGGAGAUGCUUCUGCCCUGAAAGGAACACUCCCCCAAGCGCCUUUAGGGGGUGCUGCACCAGAAAGUUCCUCCCGACUGGCCCAUUCAUCACUUAAUGCUGGAGCUAAAGUUUGCUUUCAAGAGCCAGAGGGAAAGGGCGGGGUGUGACUCCGUGGGCUCCGGUAGAUCUUGACGCCUUUCCCUUGUGCUGUGCCUCUCCUGUAGUUUGGCAGCAGUAGCUGUGUCUGUGCUUCCCCUUUUGUUCGGCUCUGUAACACUUGCUACUGAGUAUGGCCCCCGCUCUCUGCAUGUCCCACUGCCCCCCAGCCCUUUACUUGGCUCCCUUACCUUGGUGUCCAACUCUCCUUCCGGGCACAACAGCACCGAUUCAUUUUCAUUUUCUCUCUCUCUCCCUCUCUGUCA